UCACUUUCUAAAGUCCAAUCAAAACAAUAAACCAAACCUUGAUUUGUAGUUUGUCAAUUUCAAAGGUGUAAAUCUCAGACUGAAAAUUUAACAAUCACCUCUCCCAAAAGCCAGUCUGAAUCAGCUCUAGUUCCCUUACCCUGCCCCCAAUCCAUGGACUCUUGGAAUCAUCUGGAUAAGUGUGGAAAGAAUGAAAUUUUACAGUUGUUUGGGGUUCAGGGCCUGGAGUCAGGAAGAACUGAGUUCAAAUCUGGCCUGUGGAUUUUACUAGCUAUGUGAUCUUGGGUAUCCUGGGACAUAAACCCUGAUCUUCCUAGCCUAGUUAUGGCUCCAAAGGUGAGAUGUAGCCUAAAAUGACUUUGAUUUCAACUGAGAAACUGAGUUGGAAACUCUCAAGGAAAAGGUCCAUCCAUCAUCAGUGCAGUUCCUUAGGUGAUACUGCUCAAAAGCUUCUACCAGUUUCCUCUAUAAAAUCCUUCAAAGAUAAGAAAACUAUAAAGCAAGUGAGACCCAGUUAAUCCAGCAGGACCUAGUGAAUUUGGAUCAUAAGGAUGGCUGAGAAAUAUGUUGUGUUUGCUCCUUCUGGAAAAUGCACAAGUUCAUCAGGAGAAAAAAAUGUCAUCUGGAAUACUGAGUAGGCCAAAUACUGAUGCUUAUUAAACCUAAUAAAUAAAGCUUUUGAACUUU